rnacentral:rRNA from 1 species
UACGUAGGUGGCGAGCGUUUGUCCGGAUUUACUGGGCGUAAAGAGCGCGCAGGCGGCUCGGCAAGUCCGAUGUGAAAGCUUCCGGCUUAACUGGAAAAUUGCAUCGGAAACUGCUCGGCUUGAAGGUGGGGAGAGGGUAGCGGAAUUCCCGGUGUAGUGGUGAAAUGCGUAGAUAUCGGGAGGAACACCAGUGGCGAAGGCGGCUACCUGGCCCCACUCUUGACGCUGAGGCGCGAAAGCUAGGGGAGCAAACGGGG